UUACGUGAUGCAUUAUUCAAAUUUCGCGCAAAUUUCGCGCCGAGCUAAUAUUUUAGGUAUUAAUUGAAACGCAGGACGCGUCAUGACGAAAAAUCCGAAAAGUUCGACAAAGGGAACACCUAUCGUUUUCACAAGCAAUAAGACUGUCCCCCAUUAGCGAAGGAUGCAACUCCUAUUUUUAUCUACCUCCGUGACUCGAUAUACGUUAUCGUUAUCUGUAAUAAGACAACCGAGAAACGAGCUAAACGAGCGAGAGCCAGCCAGCUUUCAAGGCUGCACUUGUGCAGGAUGUAAAAUUAAGGUGCAAAAAACAGAAUGUAAAAAGAUCAGCAAUGUACGCGUUGCGCAGUUACAUCUAUCCUUUUCCCUCUCUGCACAAGUCAGACAUUCGCAUGGAGAGGCAUCGAUCUUUGAGAUUUAGCAAUGGUCUAGCAAUCGAGUAAACCGAUCGACCGAAAGCGAUUUUUCCCAAAGUGGAGUCUAAUUUCGUUUAGAGAAUGAAAAUUCUCAAAGAAGAUUGAAAACUUCUCGAUAAUUCAAUUUUAAACGAAGAAGGAAUGUGUUUUUGUUCGAAAUAGAAUAUUGGUCUAUUUAAAUUAUUGACGUCAAUUUCGUAAUUAUACGUAAAUUCAUAUGAAAUGUUUCAAGAAUGAGUUUAAAAACGUCCAAGUAAUAUUCAUUUGUCUAUUUGUGACUUUUUCAAUUAAUGUUUCAUGGAAUAAAAGCAACCACGUGUCGAGCACGAAUUCUAGGAUUCUUCUUAAAUAAAUAUUGGCUUUUAUUUAAUUUUUUUUUUUUUUUUUUUUGCGGAAAAUUGACGCACGGUUUUUAAAAACGAAUUGAACGAAUGUUCACGACCAAAGUGCGCGUGGUGAGACUGUUUAAUUACUUGUCAGAAAGCAAAAUGAUGCAUCGCUCACGAUAUGCAUAAAUUUCACGGCGAACGAAUCAUCAGAUUUGACCCAAAAACAAAAUUCAUUAUCGCGGAAAAUAUUGCACCGUGGCCUGAUUGGAUCCUCUAAAUAAUUUUGAUCCUGCUAAUACACGAUAGCCUUCGAUGGAAAAUCGCCACGAGCAUAAUUCAAUUUGCAUAUCGUGUCCCUGGUGGCGUAUCUAAACCGAACGUUUAGUUUACCGCGCUUUUGUUUACCGUGUUGUUAUAUUUUUCAUGGAAGCAGUAUUUUUCAGAAUAAUGCUGCUCGGAUAAAUGGCAACAUAGUUAAAAUAAGAUAAAGCUUAAACUAAAAAUUUAAAAAUCCUCCACUCCAUUAGUUCCGCUGUAAUUUUGCUCGCAACAUUAGCCGCAAUUAAUCGAGAGCCAUAAUUAAUUAAUCACGAAUCGUAUUCGUACUCUUAGGAAUAUUAAUCAUCUUCGAUCGAGUGUCAUAAACAGAGCUCCUUGAACGCGAUUCACAUUCAAAUGACAUGACGCGGUGCGAUGAGACACAGCGGAACUUUCCUAUCGACCGUGAAGAACAUAUGUGGCAACGGAGAGAGAGAGAGAGAGAGAGACUUUUUUUUUCUUUCUCUCGUGUAUCUCCAUUCAUCUCGAGAUGAUUUUAUUUUCGGUCGAUCAAAACGAAACGGACAUAUGCACGUGCGAAAUAACUCUAAUGCCAACAGAGUUCGUGGAACAUAGGUGUUUCCAUGCGACACACGUCCACUGGCAAAAGCGACGCUCCCAACACGAGAUAUAUGGGUUCCGCGAGGAAAAUAUGCGGCCAUUCAUCCGACGAGAAUGACAAUGAACGAAUGAAAUCACGUCCACGUGUUUCUACCCGGCUAAUCGACUUCGUUUACCUUCGUUGCUCACGGAGAAAAAUCUCGAGAUAACGUGCUUUCGCAUGCUAUCUGAACGAUUACGUAAGGCUUCCAACCGUGUUCGAGAAACGAUUUUUUUGUUCCGUAGAACGAUUUAUUUUGCGAUUGUGUACGGAGAAACGACAAUUUGAAAUAUACGUGGAUCGAUUAGUACGUCAAAUUCGCGGACGGAAAACGAAUGUUUCUUUGGGAAAAAAAAAAAAAGAAAUAUAUAUUGAGAAUAUGCAGAUGAUGUCUAUAAUAGUAAGUAAAUGACCUGACGUCAUGCUGCCUAGGCCUUGAAACGAGCGAUCUCUGGUUGUAAGGGUCUCGACUCGGAGUGGGGACAAGGCGAUAAUGCUUUCAAGCGAGUCGAAGCAUUGAAGCGACGGAUACUCGGUCUGAAAUCUCCUUCUCUCUAAAUAGAUUCUUUAGAAAUUUGUGUUAUAUAGCUAGCUCAUCCUCGAGAAUCUUCUCUUCGCGAAUGCAAUAAAUAAAACCGCGUUCGACUUCGAAGGUGAUUCCUUCUGUUUCGACAAUCGAAAAGAGCUUGUUCCCGAGCUCGCUAUCUCGCGUGAUUCACGAUCGCCGACGGGCUAUUUUCCACGCGAAGGCCGUUUCACACGCGUUCGAAUCUCGCUUUUGGAACACGCUCGACGAACACUGUAUUCCCAUAUGGAAUGGAUUUAACGACAAACAGCGCAUAUAACAUAAUACGGGAAGGGGAGAACCUCUUGUAUAACGCCUCUGUUUAUUUUACUUCGUUCGAUCGAAUCUCCCUUUCCUGUACAAAUUUCAUUUUAUGUGCGAUACGGGCGCAUCGUACACGAAUCCCAGGUAGGUAAAGGAUCGCGAAUGUUUACACGUUCACAGCUCUAAACGCGAUUGGAACGAGGCUUUCCACGAUCCUGAACGGUUCGUUUUAGCUGACGCUAUUCGAAAAACAUCCACUGCAUUUUGUAUCGCAUGCCUCUACGUGCUCGCGAGUCGAUCGAUGAUACUUUUGUCUCGAAAGUCGAUACCUGGUUUCUAUAUUGCUGAUUACACGCUCUUGAAAUUGCACAACACUGAUCGUUGCCAAAACAUCGCGAUCUUUCAACUUUAUUCUUUUAUUUCCUUAUUUUUUUUAUUUAUCUUUUCGACGAUAUUAUCCUUAUUAAUAAAGAACAUGGUCCAAUGUAAACAGAAAUACACACUUCCCACCUUGAAUUCAAUCUCGUUGAGUCUAUUUCUUUACAUUUUUCGUCUUUCCUCGAACCAUCAUCCGCUUAUCAUCCGUGGAUCAGUGACACUAACGGUUUGGAAUUGGAAAAAUAAAAUAACGAUCCGUACGAGGGCGUACGAAUCAAAACGCGCGAAAUUCAAACAGGAAAUGUAAGUAAGUAUCCGUUAGAAACGGAUUUAGAAAAAUCGAUCGCAGAGAAUAAAUAUCGCGUGCAUUCUUGAAACAUAACAAAAAAUCAUAACAUCCAAUGCUACCUGCCUCGACCAGGUUAAACGAGGAUCCAACGGAACGGGUCACGCACACAGACGCAAGAUUAAGUAUGGGACAGGAUCCAACACAGAACAAUUUUACCUGGUCGUGUUCUAUGCUGGCUGGAGUAACUAACUGGUUCCGAGCACUGGCCAAAAUUUAAAUUCCAUGAAAACAGCUAAUACACGAGUGAAAACGUAAACACGAGGUCUCGUAUACGUCGUUGCGAGAAUGGUAACAAGCCAACAAUGAUACUGUAUGCUUGAAUAUAUCGUUCUUAGGGAAAAAAAAAAAAAAAGAAAAAAGAAAA